UGCAGUCGAGCGAACUGAUUAGAAGCUUGCUUCUAUGACGUUAGCGGCGGACGGGUGAGUAACACGUGGGCAACCUGCCUGUAAGACUGGGAUAACUUCGGGAAACCGAAGCUAAUACCGGAUAGGAUCUUCUCCUUCAUGGGAGAUGAUUGAAAGAUGGUUUCGGCUAUCACUUACAGAUGGGCCCGCGGUGCAUUAGCUAGUUGGUGAGGUAACGGCUCACCAAGGCAACGAUGCAUAGCCGACCUGAGAGGGUGAUCGGCCACACUGGGACUGAGACACGGCCCAGACUCCUACGGGAGGCAGCAGUAGGGAAUCUUCCGCAAUGGACGAAAGUCUGACGGAGCAACGCCGCGUGAGUGAUGAAGGCUUUCGGGUCGUAAAACUCUGUUGUUAGGGAAGAACAAGUACGAGAGUAACUGCUCGUACCUUGACGGUACCUAACCAGAAAGCCACGGCUAACUACGUGCCAGCAGCCGCGGUAAUACGUAGGUGGCAAGCGUUAUCCGGAAUUAUUGGGCGUAAAGCGCGCGCAGGCGGUUUCUUAAGUCUGAUGUGAAAGCCCACGGCUCAACCGUGGAGGGUCAUUGGAAACUGGGGAACUUGAGUGCAGAAGAGAAAAGCGGAAUUCCACGUGUAGCGGUGAAAUGCGUAGAGAUGUGGAGGAACACCAGUGGCGAAGGCGGCUUUUUUGGUCUGUAACUGACGCUGAGGCGC
rnacentral:rRNA from 2 species